GUGGCAGAAGAUAGAGCAGUGAGUCGACGCGACGCGGUUACAAAUAGAACGGUAGCGUGGGCGAAAGAUAAUGCGGUGGAAGGACGGGCGCAAACAGUGUACCCGCUGGACUUAAGCAUAUCAAUAAGCGGAGGAAAAAGAAACCAACAGGGAUUGCCCUAGUAACGGCGAGUGAAGCGGCAACAGCUCAAAUUUGAAAUCUGGCGUAAGCCCGAGUUGUAAUUUGUAGAGGAUGCUUCUGGGUAGCGGCCGGUCUAAGUUCCUUGGAACAGGACGUCAUAGAGGGUGAGAAUCCCGUAUGUGACUGGCUUGCACCCUCCACGUAGCUCCUUCGACGAGUCGAGUUGUUUGGGAAUGCAGCUCUAAAUGGGAGGUAAAUUUCUUCUAAAGCUAAAUACCGGCCAGAGACCGAUAGCGCACAAGUAGAGUGAUCGAAAGAUGAAAAGCACUUUGGAAAGAGAGUUAAAAAGCACGUGAAAUUGUUGAAAGGGAAGCGCCCGCAACCAGACUUUGCGGCGGUGUUCGGCUGGUCUUCUGACCGGUUUACUCGCCGCCGUGAGGCCAUCAUCGUUCUGGGACCGCUGGAUAAGACCUGAGGAAUGUAGCUCCCUUCGGGGUGUGUUAUAGCCUCUGGUGAUGCAGCGCGUCUCGGGCGAGGUCCGCGCUUCGGCAAGGAUGAUGGCGUAAUGGUUGUCGGCGGCCCGUCUUGAAACACGGACCAAGGAGUCUAACAUCUAUGCGAGUGUUCGGGUGUCAAACCCCUACGCGUAAUGAAAGUGAACGGAGGUGGGAACUUUUUGUGCACCAUCGACCGAUCCUGAUGUCCUCGGAUGGAUUUGAGUAAGAGCAUAGCUGUUGGGACCCGAAAGAUGGUGAACUAUGCCUGAAUAGGGUGAAGCCAGAGGAAACUCUGGUGGAGGGCUCGCAGCGGUUCUGACGUGCAAAUCGAUCGUCAAAUUUGGGUAUAGGGGGCGAAAGACUAAUCGAAACCAUCUAGUAGCUGGUUCCUGCCCGAAGUUCCCCUUCAGGA
rnacentral:rRNA from 1 species